rnacentral:rRNA from 1 species
CCCGCUGAACUUAAGCAUAUCAGUAAGCGGAGGAAAAGAAACUAACAAGGAUUCCCGUAGUAACGGCGAGUGAAGUGGGAAUAGCUCAAAUUUAAAAUCUGGCCUUUGGCCCGAAUUGUAGUCUAAAGAGGUGCUAUCUUGCAUGGCGGCGUGCGCACAAGUGUCCUGGAAUGGUCCAUCACAGAGGGUGAGAAUCCCGUUUGGGUGCACGCCUCAUGCAUUUGUGAGGCACUCUCUAAGAGUCGAGUUGUUUGGGAAUGCAGCUCAAAAUGGGUGGUAAACUUCAUCCAAGGCUAAAUAUUGGCAAGAGACCGAUAGCGAACAAGUACCGUGAGGGAAAGAUGAAAAGCACCUUGAAAAGGGAGUUAAACAGCGCGUGAAAUUGUUAAAAGGGAAACGAUUGAAGCCAGCAUUGUGCGUAUGGUGUGGGGUGGCAUGGUGUGCGGAAUCAAGAGCGCAAGCCUUGGUCCGUGUGCAUAGUGCUAUCAGACCUGCGCGCGAGUCAGGGCCGCUUGGUUUAUGCCUUAGAAGACACUGGGAAGGUAGCCACCGCGUGUGGCCUUAUAGCCCAGUGGGAUGGGGUGUGCUCGAGCUGGUAGUGCAGUUGGCCUUGUUAUGUGCCCUUGGCAGUGCAGACUGCAUGCAGACUACACUGCACGGGGGCGCAGACCGGACAGCCACAAUGCACGUUCCUGACGGAAUGGCUUUAAACGACCCGUCUUGAAACACGG